AGAGGGAGGAGUUAAGGAGACAGACAGAGAGAGAGAGAGAUCUGAGGAGAAGAGGGAGAACCAAAAUGGAGGCUGACGUGGUGUUAUCAAAGUGGAGUGACCAGGGCUGACAGGUAUUCUGACAUCUGCUCCCUGAGAGGUGACGUGGGAAGUCCUGCACUGUGAGUCCAUUGAGUAGGACACACCCAGGCCUCUUCUUUUCUCCAGGAUAUGUGCAAGAUGAGAGCCAGCCAUCGUCUCCUGAUAGUGGAGAUUUGAUCUGAAGCAUUCAAAUAGGAAAUGAAUGCUCAGAGGAAGCUUCAAAUUUCUUUCUACUUGAAGAAGCUGAAUUGCAGAAGCUAUCUCUGUCCUGUUAAUCACCGGGUCCACAGUGAAACCAGCCAACUUCAGAGAAGACUCUUGUGCUGCGUGACCCCUGACUGUAACCAAGUGUCCUUCUCUCUGAGACGUUCCCUCGGAGCUUGUUCUCACAGCCCUCACCUCCAGUGACCUCCACGAACUUUUCCACACGAGGGGUUCUCUGCUUCCCUCCAUCUGAGCUGCGCAAUUCCACCAGGCCUUUUGCUCCUCUUCAGUCAGGUGCUUUGGAGGUAAUGAAGUCUUUCGGGGGAAAAAUAAACAAAGGAAAUGCACCCGGUUGAUGUCAAUGGACUUGUUUAACUAUUUAAGGCCACUGUCUCCAAGUGUAAGUGUGCUGCGGUGUGUUUUGUAAAGUAGCGCUUAUAAUCCACUGAGCUUUCCAAACAGCCCUCUUGCCUAUUAAGCCUGCAUUGAGAAGUGGGUUUAAUUUGCCAGAGUAGUUUUUUGUGAUAAUUACAGGACUUGCAGAUUAGCUUGAGUGACUUGGCAAGGUUCUGUAGCUAAUAAAAAAUCACACAGGAAAAAAAUUGUAACAUUCAAUUGCUUCAAGGUUCUUCACGAGAGAAACAUUAAACAAACCUGAUAGGCCAGUUUCCAGUCUGUGAAGGGACUUGGAGGCAAGCCGGGAGAGAGGGAGGAGAAAGAGAUCGCCAUGAUGGGGAAGAAGGAAGAGGAGACCUAAAGGCCAGCUGACAUGACUUUGGGUCCCUAACCUGCAACUCAGCACUCAGUCCAUCAUGGGCUUUGCUAGUCUCUGUGACUUCUCCAGGGCAGGAAAGUGACAGGUUUCUGCGCAAGGGAGCCCGAGGUACCUGGUUCAGGAUGGAGAGGGCACUUGAGAGGCGUCAAAAGCAAGCACAGUUAGAGGACAUCAGCGAUGUUAAAACCCCACGAGGGUCAACAGUAGCCCAGGCAAAAUAAAGGAGCCUGAAGUGGAAAAACAGAAAUGGAACAAGACGUUUGUUCUGGAGCACGUGAGAUUGUCCUUCUAAGACAUUUCCAGAAGUAUUCAAAGGAAGAUUUAAUGGGAAAUCAUUAUGCAAAAGAGUCAGUAAUAUAUUUUAGUUUCAAAAAGUACGGAGCGUGACGCCUGUCAAUUAUACCUUCUGCAAAGGUGAGUGGCGGUUGUCCUUGCUGUUCCAAAAUGCAAAGAGAAACAAACAAACAAACAAACAAGCAAACCAGCUACUCCUAUUCCGCACUCCAAACACCAAGCAGAAAUGCUUCUGGGACAAACUGAGCUUCAUUCUUUAUGAAAAUGAAAACACUUCUUUCUGUGCACUAGGAAAAUGUUCUGCCUCUGAGCUGCAAAACCAGCACCAAACUUGAAAAGUUUGUGCAUCAAAGGAAAAAGGCAACCUACAGGAUGGGGGAGAAUAUUUGCAGGACACAUGUCCUGGAAGGAAUACAUAUUUAGACUGAAUAAAAUGAGUAAGAGGAGGGAUAGGGAGUUCGUGUUCAAUGUUGAGAGCUUGGGACAGUUGAGAAAACGCUCCGGAGUGUUCUGCAGAUGAAUGAUGGUGACGACUGCAUCAGUGUGAAUGUCCUUAACGCCGUCAAAAAUUGGUUAUAAUGGCAAAUUUUAUGCUACAUAUGUUUUACUACAAUAAAAAUGCCAGGAAAAUCUAACUGCUCCAAAUCCUGAAUUUAUUAACCCAAUAAAUUAGGAGAUGGUUAUUGACCUAUAAAUGGAUUUGUCAAUUUUUAAAAUGAUUUCCUUUAAAUUGAAUUCUUUCCUAGAGCUUUAUUGUCUCUUCACAAACCAUUAAACACUUGUUAAAGUGUUCAGAGAGGGCUGAGAUGGAGGAGGAAGUGAAAACCAAACAAACAGAUGAGGGACCUUCCCCAAAUGAUGUCUGCUAACAGGCUUCUUGGGUAUUCUAUUUAUAUAGAUUUUACAAGUGUUUUAUUUGAGAGGAAAAAUCCCUAGACCUUACAUAGUACAAUGAACUUCUUAUGCCUGUCAGCUAGAUUUAUUAAUUUUUAACGAGGUGUAUUACUUUUAAAAGCUAUCUAUUUACUAUUGGGGGAGGGAGAAGGACAAAGGACAUCUUGCAGAAGUCUGGUCUCUCCUGCUAUGUGGGUUCUGGAGAUAGGAAAUCAGGCAGGUUGUCAGGCCUAGAAGCAAAGGCCUGUCUGCACUGAGCCAUCUUACUUGUCUUAUUUUGUUACUUUUGAUGACCUAUUUUAGACAUCACUAUUCUAUAGCCCUAAGUAUAACUUCAAGUAUGUAUCUUCCACAAUGACUUUAUGACCAUGAAAUCAAUUCAAGAAAUUUAACAUGUAUGCAGUUCUAUCCAGCGUACAUACAGAUUUCUCAUCCCCCCUUUUACUGUAGUUUAUAGAAAAAGCAAUUCUCUUCCAUAUCUAGAGUUUGACAAGGAAUAUGCAUUGCAUUUGGUUUCUGUGUUCUUUAAUCUCUUGUUGUACAGAACUUCAACCUUUCAUGACAGGUUGAACAAUUUUGGAUCAUACAGGCUGUCAUGGUUUGAAUAUGUUUGGCCCAGGGAGUGGUACUGUUAGGGGUGUGGUCUUCUUGGAAUAGGUGUGUCACCGUGGGCGUGGGCUUUAAGACCCUCAUCCUUAGCUUCUGGAAGUCAGUCUUCCACUAGCAACCUUCAGAUGAAGAUGUAGAACUCUCACCAUCUCCUGCACUAUACCUGCCUGGAUAUCGCCAUGUUCCUGCCUUGAUGAUUAUGGACUGAACCUCUGAACCUGUAAGCCAGCCCCAAUUAAAUUUGUCCUUAUAAGAGUUACCUUGGUCAUGGUGUCUGUUCACAGCAGUAAAACCCUAACUAAGACACAGGCCAAUUACAGAAUGUCUCUUUUUGGUGUGUGCAGUGUUAAAGUUUGAAGCACAAGCCUAAUGCUUGUUAGACAAGCACUCUACCGCUGCUCUACAUCAGCAGCUCAGUGUGCCUCUUGUCUUGAUGGGCUCAUUGUUUUUUAUGACCCAGUGCAUUGGGGUGAGCAGCUCACACAGGUACGAAGGGGUCCCUCUCAGAGCUUAACAUCAGGGAACUCAAUGUUGGUUUGUCUGUUCUAUUUCAGCUGAGCUAGUAUCUGGCAGUUCCCCACAACCCCCAUCAAGUUACCACUUUUUUCUUUGUAAUUGUAAUUUGCAAAGAAAUAUUUGCAAGAUUAAGUAAUAGACUACACAACGUGUUUUAGCUUCCACUGAGCAUUCAGCCUGAACUGUUUUAUAAAGUUAUGAAAUGAUAGAUUUCCAACUUAAUAAUUAUUUUAAAGACUUAUUUUAUUUUUAGUUCUGCAUGUAUGCCUGUGUGUGCACGUGUGUACCUAUGUAUCUGUAUGGUUAUGUGCACAUGAAUGCAGAUGUCCAAGGAGAAGAGGCCAGACACAUUGGAUCCCUGGUGCUCAAGUGGGAGGUGGCUGUCAGCUGCUGUAGGAAGGUGAUGGGAACUCAGCUUGAGUCCUUUGCAAGAACAGCAUGAGCUCUUAAACACAGAGCCACAUCUUCAGUCCCUCUCUUAUUUUUUUAAAAAUUAUUCUCUCUCUGUGUAUGUGUGUGUAUACAGAGGUCAGAGGAUCAUUUUUGUAAAAUUAGUUCUCUCUACCUUUUUUUGUGGGCUCUGGGGACUAAACUCAAGUUGUUGGGAUUUUGUGACAAGUGCUGUAUCCACUGAGCCCUCUCACAUGCCCUUAAAUGUUAUUUUAAAUAAUAGCAAAUGAGUACGUUCAAGCAUACGAGAAUAAGCAUGUCCUAUUGAUUUGAAUAUGCAAAAGUAUGCCAAUUUUUUAAAUCUCUAUUACCAAGUGGACAAGUAUUCCAUUUUAUCUCCAAAAGUAAAGAUUUCUUUUAGAUACAGUCAUGUGGAUUAUACAACUUGACUGAAGCCAUGUCUCCAAGAUACAUACCUAGAGGGUAAAGGGAAUGCUUUAAAGGAGCGUGAUUAUGAAUAUCCAAGCUGAAAAUAAACACUAAUUACUAACAAAAAGGAUUACUGAGAAAAAUAUGGGUUGGUUUUCAGUACUUGACUCUGUAAAGUUAUUUCUUUUCUUAUUUAGUUUUUAUUCAUAAUCAUAAACUUAACUUUGCCAUCCAGCUAGACUUGAAGGGGAAUGAGGAAAAUAUGGAACCCAAAGAACUUGAGCAGAGAUUACAGGGUAUUUCAAGCAGAUGGGGUAGGGAUGCUCUCCUGCGCUACAGAAGGAAUGGUUGGAUGGGUAAAAUGCCUGCAAGUCAAAAGAAAUUAGAGUUAUCCACAGUCGGAAAUGGUCUUGCUGGUCUUUCCAUUCCUGGACCCAAAACACUCCAUGGCUUCCACAAUGUUCAUGCCUUCUUUCACCUUCCCAGACACCACAUGCUUGCCAUCCAGCCACUUAGUCUUGGCAGUGCAGAUAAAAAACUGGGAACCGUUUGUGUUGGUCCAGUAUUUGCCAUGGACAAGAUGCCAGGACCUGUAUGCUUCAGGAUGAAGAUCUCAUCCUCAAAUUUCUCUCCAUAGAUGGAUCUGCCGCCAGUGCCAUUAUGGCAUGUAAAGUCACCACCCUGGCACAUGAAUCCUGGAAUAAUUCUGUGAAAGGAGGAACCCUUCUAGUAAAAUCCUUUCUCUCCAGUGCUCAGAGCAUGAAAGUUUCCCGCUGUCUUUGGAACUUUGUCUGCAAACAGCUGGAAGGAGACUCUUCAAGGGCUCGUCAUCGGCCGUGAUGUCAGAGAACACGGUGGGGUCGACUGUGGCUACAGCAAGAGGACCAACGGUACUGUUGCUCUAGCUACAGGAAUAAUCCUGGGCAGCACUUGUUGACCUUGGUCACUGUCAAGGGAAGAUCGGCUGUUCCCACUGAGGGCAUCUUGAUGGAUUAAGGUGAUCAGCUGAUCAAUGUGAGGGGACAGAUGGGAGCUAGGAACUGUCUCGGUACUGAGUCAUUUUUCAUCUAAUGUGCAAGAAACCCAAAGAGCACAUCAAACAGCGAACUACGCCUAAGCUAUCCAUGUUUCUCCUGCUUCUUCUGAGAGGGUGAUUUACACGUAGCUCAACACUCGAGUGUUGCAGUAUCGAGUGACUGCAACCAAACAAUGGAACAUGCAUCGUGCCUGUUGACAGAGCCUGCAGUUGGCUUGGAACCGGGACCAUGCUGCAUUCGACAUCGUUCCUGGUGGCUGACUUGUUCCCAUAGAAUUAAAUGCUAGGCAUCCAGAAGCUGACUGUGCAUCUGAUGGGCUCACUAACAUUCAGGAACAGGUUGGCCUCAGACUUCAUCAAUGGAAAG
rnacentral:lncRNA from 1 species